UUCAAGGUGGACGAAUGCAUACUCUUUUAUAACGUAUUGGAACGAGGGUACCCAACAUGAACUCGCGCGCCAGGUGUCUAAUGGGCCAUCAUCGUUCCAUGGCUCUUGUUCGGUCAGAUCUCCCUCCAGAAGACUCAAAACACUUUGUAAAGGCUGGUGACAUCUAGUGGAAGCAAUAGCUGUAGCUGAGCUGGUUAAACUGUAGUAGGGUCCACAUAGAUACUAGUCAUGCUGGUGCAGUCUAUAGCUGAGCUGGUUAAACUGUAGUAGGGUCCACAUAGAUACUAGUCAUGCUGGUGUAGUCUAUAGCUGAGCUGGUUAAACUGUAGUAGGGUCCACAUAGAUACUAGUCAUGCUGGUGUAGUCUAUAGCUGAUCUGGUUAAACUGUAGUAGGGUCCACAUAGAUACUAGUCAUGCUGGUGUAGUCUAUAGCUGAGCUGGUUAAACUGUAGUAGGGUCCACAUAGAUACUAGUCAUGCUGGUGGUGAUGGUCCCCAGAUGUGAUGAUUAAUUCUUCUCUGUUUUAUGUACAAUGAUUUAACUGAUUUGAUCUUCAGAUGUUCUGAAUUAAAAUAAACAUUCAAUAUAUUCAUAUUUAUUAUAGUACAAUGUUUUAAUCUUGUACGUUUCCAUGAAUCAUGAUGUAUGGUGUGGAUGUAUAUUGGUUGUCAUUCAGAACCAUUGAUAUAUUUUCUCAAUUGGUCAAGUUUUCCGUAGUGGCAUUAAACACAUAGUAACUAAACUAUAUGGACUGGUUUCCUGGACAUGGAACAGAUAGUAACUAAACUAUGUGGACUGGUUUCCUGGACAUGGAACAGAUAGUAACUAAACUAUAUGGACUGGUUUCCUGGACAUGGAACAGAUAGUAACUAAACUAUAUGGACUGGUUUCCUGGACAUGGAACAGAUAGUAACUAAACUAUAUGGACUGGUUUCCUGGACAUGGAACAGAUUAAAUGUCCAGGAAACCGUCCCUAAAUGUGUCAUCUUUCAUCCUCCCAUACUGCUCAGUCCAGCAACAUUAAACCUGUCCAGCAGGAGGUGCUAUUGACCAAACAAUAAAACCAGCAGAUAUCUUGACUUGCCACUCAGUAUAUCAGUAAUGUUCAGAAUAGUACUUUAAUAUCAUUGGAGAUUGAUGGUCUUUUUAAUCCACUAUCCAGAGUCAGGAACAGAUGAAGUUAGGUCUGCUACUGUUCAGUGAUUAAAUAUGAUUUAUGGUGAUG
rnacentral:lncRNA from 1 species